rnacentral:rRNA from 1 species
UACGAAGGGGGCAAGCGUUGUUCGGAAUUACUGGGCGUAAAGGGCGCGUAGGCGGCCGAUCAAGUCAGGCGUGAAAUUCCCGGGCUCAACCUGGGGGCUGCGCUUGAUACUGAUUGGCUUGAAUGCGGGAGAGGCAAGCGGAAUUCCAGGUGUAGCGGUGAAAUGCGUAGAUAUCUGGAGGAACACCCGUGGUGCAGACGGCUUGCUGGACCGUGACUGACGCUGAGGCACGAAAGCGUGGGUAGCAAACAGG